rnacentral:lncRNA from 1 species
CAGUGUUCUUAGGUGCCAUUUCUCCCUGCAAGGGAAUAACGAGUGUCGAUUAGAUAUUUAUCAUUCAAUUCUAUUAGCAUAACAUUGGUCUCAAAGAUGGAAGGAGAAGCCAGGUCCCACUGGGCGUGCCAUUUUGUCUGCCACCACGAAUGACGCACCUCGCACGAGAAAUUUUAUUUUGAUUUUACCGUGGGGUAGUAUUCAUGAUGUAGAUUAAAGUAUGUGUAUGUAUGGUUAUCAGGUAUUGUGGAUCCAUGGCUUCCAAUAAACGCAAGCGUUUAUUGUUAAUUAUCCCUACAAAGUGUUAGGGCACCUUCGAUUAAGAGACCUUUGUAAUGCUGUGAUUAAAUAAAACAUAAUUCAGUAUGACGGUCGAUUGACCAAGAUAUUAUUCAUCCUAAGAUGAAAGGUUGGUUAAAUUCCCAGUAUAUACAUUGGAAUC